rnacentral:tRNA from 1 species
GGCUUCGUAGCUCAGCUGGUAGAGCACUUACCGCGUUGAGGCACGUUUUUUCUGUCGCUGGUACAAAUCCAGCCGAAACCC